AAUAUUUUUAAAUAUAAUUAGAAAAAUAAAACCCCCAAAUUAAAAGUCAGUUCUCUCAAAAUUUGAUAUUGGAGCACCUUGCUGCGACUCUUACUCUUUACUGUGCCAUCAUCACCUCCGGCGGUGGCUCCAAACUGAGCAUCAAAAAAAAAAUUUUAAUUGAUUUAGAGGGUUUGUAUACAGGUUUAUGAGAAAGUGUUUUUGACAUCCAGAACAUGAAGCCCAGAUUAAAACAAACUUCAAGUUAAAAGCUGGGCGCAUACUUGUUGGCUUGCUAUCAAAAGCUCGUGUAAAUUACAAGAGGCCUAGGUGGAUUCUGCCUGAAAAUUGGCAAAAGUCAAUUGACCAUUGGGCGACAGAUUUGAGGUUCAAGCAGAUUAGUGAGAUGGCAAGAAAGCUAGAGCAUCUAAUAAGGUUGGCUCUUUACACACGAGUGGAGCUCAGAGUUGGCUCUUUACACACGAGUGGAGCUCAGAGUUAGGGAAAUGUAAGGACAAAACUAGUAGGUCAUUCAUGCGAUUGUGAUAAUUUUCAUUGAAUUGUGACUGCUUAGUGAUACCUUAUCCUCAGACGACCAAUUAUUCUGGGCUAUUUAACAUAAGAUACUAUAAUAAACCGUUACUAACAGUAAACUUUGGUUCCCCUUUUCUAACAAUUCUGUCUAUGUAAUGGUUUAGCCAUGAUAGAAUUCUUUUCGUUAUAAGCUUGCCAAAAUGAAAAAUGGCUAAAUCAAACAUUAUUCGUCA